GUAAUAGGCUAACGUGGUUCGAAGUUUAUUGUUUUGACAUUGAAUUUUUAUUGCGCUCUAUUCCACUUUAGUUUAUGAAACGAUAAAAAUGAAAAAAAUAUUGUCGCUACUAUGCUUAAUGAUAUUAGUGUCAAUAAAUUGUUCUCAAAACAAACAAAACAUAGACGAAUUUAUCGAUGAUGUGCUGGCGUCAAGAAAGUUCGCUACACUGGCUGAUAUUAUAGCUGAAAAAACAAUAGUCAAAUUAUGGAAUAUGAAAAGAAAUAGUUUUUUUAGUACAAAUAGUAAAAAUCAAGGAGACGAAAGAAUUCGUCGUCAUAGCCAUGCUGUUGACGAAAAUUCAUUGCGAAAUAUAUCGUUAAAAUAUAGACAAUUAAUCAGUCAAUUAAAUGGAGAAAAUAUUGUGAUCAAAGCAAGUUCCAAAGAAUUCAAAUAUAAAAGCAAUGAAGUUAAUACAACGCUCGGAGAAAAAGAUAACGCCACGAAUUCGAAUAGUUCUAAAUUUGAAUCGCCAAAAUCUGAAGAAAAAAUAUUUAAACAAGAGUUGACAACUGACAUUACCACGUUUGGAUUGUCAAAAACAAAACAGAAUGAAAAUAUACAAAAUGAGAUUGAUUUUUUUAAUAUGAAUAAACAAAGAGAUCUAAAUAGAAAAAAUACCGGAAGAAAAGAUGGUAACAAAAUAUUCGUAUUUCAAGCGUCUUCUGAUUACGAUGAGUAUCAUGAGAAGGUAGAUAAAAUUUUAAACAUCGAUCCUAAUUAAAAAAAUAUGCCAGA